GACGAACGCUGGCGGCGUGCCUAAUACAUGCAAGUCGUGCGGACCUUUUAAAAGCUUGCUUUUAAAAGGUUAGCGGCGGACGGGUGAGUAACACGUGGGCAACCUGCCUGUAAGACUGGGAUAACGCCGGGAAACCGGGGCUAAUACCAGAUCGUUUUUUCCUCCGCAUGGAGGAAAAAGGAAAGGCGGCUUCGGCUGCCACUUACAGAUGGGCCCGCGGCGCAUUAGCUAGUUGGCGGGGUAACGGCCCACCAAGGCAACGAUGCGUAGCCGACCUGAGAGGGUGAUCGGCCACAUUGGGACUGAGCCACGGCCCAAACUCCUACGGGAGGCAGCAGUAGGGAAUCUUCCGCAAUGGACGAAAGUCUGACGGAGCAACGCCGCGUGAGUGAAGAAGGCCUUCGGGUCGUAAAACUCUGUUGCCGGGGAAGAACAAGUGCCGUUCGAACAGGGCGGCGCCUUGACGGUACCCGGCCAGAAAGCCACGGCUAACUACGUG
rnacentral:rRNA from 1 species